AUGUUUAUACUUUCAAAGGGUCUUUGACAUAAAAAUAUUACAAAAUUGGACAGACUCUUUGCGAAUUUGUACGACUACGAGAGGUCGUACCAACAAAUAUUGCUACGGAUAUAGGUAACACUAGCGAAGAUGGGCCAAGUUGGUCCACCACACCUCCGCAAAAUACUACAGUUAUUGCUGCUACAACCUCACCAGGGGGAUUACGCAGAACUAGGAGUGAUAAAAGUGAUAAAAGUGCAAAUCUAAAAACGUCCGGUUACACUUCACCGAUUAUAUCAAUUCGUAUUAAUAAACCAAAUUCAAGUAUUAAUUUUGAAAAUAUCUAUGGUAAUGUCCAGAAAUGCCAGGCGAAUCAUAGACAUUUCUUGGGAAAAUCAUCUUCACUAAAUAUAAGAUGUAAUAAAAAUGUGGACGAAUUUUCAUUGCAAUAUAGAUCAUUGACGACUACAAAGCCAGUGACCAGUUAUUCAGGGACUACAACCGCAAACGCUUCAACUUCACCCACUACAUCAUCACAUUUCGGUACAACAUUAUUGCAGCGCCUAAAAAAAAGCAACAGAUUUCCCGCUAAUUUAACAUCAACUUCUGAAAGUAUAACGUUAAAAAAAUCUACAAAUACAUUAAAUCGUGUUUUACAUGAGUUUUCUGGAGAUUUGUUAAUACGAACGCCGAAAUCAAUACAAGCGAGUUCAAAAAAUAAUGUAUGUAAUGCUAAAUCUCAAGUCCAGUGAACGAAAUUUAUAUAAUGUUUCAAAAAUUGCAAUUGAUUUCUUGUAAAACUACCCUCUAAAAAAUAACGAAAUUAUAAUUUCAUUAAAUCUUCAA